rnacentral:rRNA from 1 species
GAUUAAGCCAUGCGAGUUAAAUGUUCUUCGUGAACAUAGCAGACUGCUCAGUAACACGUGGAUAACCUGCCCUUAGGACUGGCAUAACCCCGGGAAACUGGGGAUAAUUCCGGAUAGAUCAUAAAUGCUGGAAUGCUUUAUGAUUGAAAGGUUUCGACCGCCUUAGGAUGGAUCUGCGGCCUAUCAGGUUGUAGUGGGUGUAAUGUACCUACUAGCCUACGACGGGUACGGGUUGUGGAAGCAAGAGCCCGGAGAUGGAUUCUGAGACAUGAAUCCAGGCCCUACGGGGCGCAGCAGGCGCGAAAACUUUACAAUGCGGGAAACCGUGAUAAGGGAACACUGAGUGCUAGCAUUUAUGUUAGCUGUCCACAUGUGUAAAUAGCAUGUGAUAGCAAGGGCUGGGCAAGACCGGUGCCAGCCGCCGCGGUAACACCGGCAGCCCGAGUGGUGAUCACUAUUAUUGGGUCUAAAGGGUCCGUAGCCGGUUUAAUCAGUCUUCUGGGAAAUCUAAUCGCUUAACUAUUAGGCUUCCAGGGGAUACUGUUAGACUUGGGACGGGGAGAGGUAAGAGGUACUGCAGGGGUAGGAGUGAAAUCUUGUAAUCCCUGUGAGACCACCAGUGGCGAAGGCGUCUUACCAGAACGGGUCCGACGGUGAGGGACGAAAGCUGGGGGCACGAAUCGGAUUAGAUACCCGGGUAGUCCCAGCUGUAAACGAUGCUCGUUAGGUGUCAGGAAC